CCUCUGGGCAGAGGGAUCCUCCUUCCAUCAUCACUGAUAUUUAACUGAGAUAUUAAAGCAAGUGUAGCCUUGGCAGAGAUCCUUACCACCAUUCUAACUGGAGCCUCCUCUUCCCUAGGGACAGACUAAGAAAAAAUGGGGUUGGAUGGAGUGAGUGGUACAAGCAGUAACGUGCUGGCUACAUGAGUAGAGACAAACACUUCACAGGCAGUGUAACAUACCAGGCACACGUGAGCAGUCUUGAAGAGGAACAGUCACCAUUUCCCAGGAUGUUUUAACCUCCAUCAUGGCAGUUACUACUAUUAUCCUGCUCUACAGAGAUGCUUGCUGCUAGAGCCUGAAGGAGUCCUAAGCGAGAUGAGCAUUGUGAUCAUUAGUUUACAGGAACACGGGAAUGAAGGGCUGUUAACAAGGGUAAGAGGUGAACUGAAAGGCAGGGGAAGGAUUAGAAAGGUGAUCUCCUAUAUCCCCGCUUCAAGCCAACAGCCAGGCCCUUUGAAGCAAGGUGUUGUCUGCUUUGUGCAUUAAUGCCUAAAGUCCUCUUUACUGAUUGCCCCUCUUAUGUCAACUAUUCCCAUGAGAAGACCUAACAGAAGCCAACAUGAAACAUCUAUUGUUGGUAUUUGCACCGAAGCUUACUUUUUAGGCCACUUGCUACAAUUACGUGCUGAUUACAACAAUUAAAACUCAGUCUGAUCAUCUUUGGCCAGCAGAAGGCAGUAAAAUCCCAACAUGGAAAAGAAACACCUUUCUUCACAAACCCAAACGUCUGCCGUUGAGCCUCAAGUACCAGGGGAAUGCGGGGAGAGCAUCCUUCUGUAGGAUCUUAGGAAAUGCCAAUUCCAGAUGCUGAAGAAAUUCAACUCCCAUUCUUCCCAAACCCUGUGGCUUUGGUCUGGUUUUUGGUCUGUUUGGCUUUCUUUUUUUUUUUAAUCCCAGGCUCCUGAUAUAGCCAAUGAUGAUUUUAGCAGCUUAAAAUAAAACAGAUUAAUGAAGAACCUACUUCAUAAAGAGAGUAACAACAACAACAAAAGAAAAAAAGCCCCAAACAAAACCCACCACAAAAAAAACAGUGAAACCAAAUCUCAGCACAUCUUGCCUAGUAAGAGGAGGAAUGGAUGAUGUUUUAGAAGAGAGAUACAAAGCUGAACAGGAAACCACUGUUAGCAUCUGAACGAACACAGAGGUGUUUAAGUUGGGGAUUUCACUGCCA